UGGGGAAUAUUGGACAAUGGGCGAAAGCCUGAUCCAGCCAUGCCGCGUGUGUGAAGAAGGUCUUCGGAUUGUAAAGCACUUUAAGUUGGGAGGAAGGGCAGUAAGCGAAUACCUUGCUGUUUUGACGUUACCGACAGAAUAAGCACCGGCUAACUCUGUGCCAGCAGCCGCGGUAAUACAGAGGGUGCAAGCGUUAAUCGGAAUUACUGGGCGUAAAGCGCGCGUAGGUGGUUCGUUAAGUUGAAUGUGAAAGCCCCGGGCUCAACCUGGGAACCGCAUCCAAAACUGGCGAGCUAGAGUAGGGCAGAGGGUGGUGGAAUUUCCUGUGUAGCGGUGAAAUGCGUAGAUAUAGGAAGGAACACCAGUGGCGAAGGCGACCACCUGGGCUCAUACUGACACUGAGGUGCGAAAGCGUGGGGAGCAAACAGG
rnacentral:rRNA from 1 species